GCGCCCGUAGCUCAAUGGAUAGAGCAGUAGCCUUCUAAGCUAUUGGUUGCAGGUUCAAUUCCUGCCGGGCGCACCA
rnacentral:tRNA from 1 species